rnacentral:rRNA from 1 species
GAUCCUGGCUCAGGAUGAACGCUGGCGGCGUGCUUAACACAUGCAAGUCGAACGAAGCACUCUAUUUGAUUUUCUUCGGAAAUGAAGAUUUUGUGACUGAGUGGCGGACGGGUGAGUAACGCGUGAGCAAUCUGCCUUUAAGAGGGGGAUAACAGUCGGAAACGGCUGCUAAUACCGCAUAAAGCAUCAAAUUCGCAUGUUUUUGAUGCCAAAGGAGCAAUCCGCUUUUAG